UACGUAGGGUGCGAGCGUUGUCCGGAAUUAUUGGGCGUAAAGAGCUCGUAGGCGGCUUGUCGCGUCGGAUGUGAAAGCCCGGGGCUUAACUCCGGGUCUGCAUUCGAUACGGGCAGGCUAGAGUUCGGUAGGGGAGAUCGGAAUUCCUGGUGUAGCGGUGAAAUGCGCAGAUAUCAGGAGGAACACCGGUGGCGAAGGCGGCCCCCUGGACCGGAACUGACGCUGAGGCGCGAAAGCGUGGGUAGCAAACGGG
rnacentral:rRNA from 1 species